AUAUCAAUAAGCAGAGGAAAAGAAACUAACAAGGAUUCCCCUAGUAACGGCGAGUGAAGCGGGAUGAGCUCAAAUUUAAAAUCUGGCUGGUUUACUAGUCCGAAUUGUAGUUUAUAGAAGCAUUUUCGGUGGCAGCCUGGGUAUAUAUCCUUUGGAAUAGGGUAUCAUAGAGGGUAAGAAUCCCGUCUUUGACUCAGUGCAUGCUACUAUGUGAUACGUUUUCAAAGAGUCGAGUUAUUUGGGAAUGCAGCUCAAAAUGGGUAGUAAAUUUCAUCUAAGGCUAAAUAUUGGCGAGAGACCGAUAGCGAACAAGCACCGUGAGGGAAAGAUGAAAAGAACUUUGAAAAGAGAGUUAAACAGUAG
rnacentral:rRNA from 1 species